rnacentral:rRNA from 1 species
UUCGAUUAGAGUUUGAUCAUGGCUCAGGAUGAACGCUGGCGGCGUGCCUAACACAUGCAAGUCGAACGGGAAUCUUCGGAUUCUAGUGGCGGACGGGUGAGUAACGCGUAAGAAUCUAACUUCAGGACGGGGACAACAGUUGGAAACGACUGCUAAUACCCGAUGUGCCGCAAGGUGAAAACUAAUUGGCCUGAAGAAGAGCUUGCGUCUGAUUAGCUAGUUGGUGGGGUAAGAGCCUACCAAGGCGACGAUCAGUAGCUGGUCUGAGAGGAUGAGCAGCCACACUGGGACUGAGACACGGCCCAGACUCCUACGGGAGGCAGCAGUGGGGAAUUUUCCGCAAUGGGCGAAAGCCUGACGGAGCGAUGCCGCGUGCGGGAUGAAGCACCUUCGGUGUGUAAACCGCUGUCAGGGGAUAGAAACACUGAUCAUCCCCAGAGGAAGGGGCGACUAACUCUGUGCCAGCAGUCGCGGUAAUACAGAGGCCCCGAGCGUUAAUCGGAAUCACUGGGCUUAAAGGGUGCGUAGGCGGACUCGUAAGUGUCGUGUGAAAGCCCACUGCUCAACGGUGGAACCGCACGGCAAACUGCGAGUCUCGAGGAAUCUAGAGGCCGGUAGAACGCAUGGUGGAGCGGUGGAAUGCGUAGAGAUCAUGCGGAAUGCCAAAGGUGAAGACAGCCGGCUGGGGAUUUCCUGACGCUGAGGCACGAAAGCGUGGGGAGCAACCAGGAUUAGAUACCCUGGUAGUCCACGCCCUAAACGAUGUGUGCUGGAUUACGGCGACUCUGACGUCGUCGGAAUCGUAGAGAAAUUGCUAAGCACACCGCCUGGGGAGUACGGUCGCAAGGCUAAAACUCAAAGGAAUUGACGGGGGCUCACACAAGCGGUGGAGCAUGUGGCUCAAUUCGAAGCAACGCGCAGAACCUUACCUGGGUUUGACAUGGUCGGAUUAGUCUGUGGAAACAUGGAUGAGGCCCGCAAGGGUACAACGAUCACAGGUGCUGCAUGGCUGUCGUCAGCUCGUGCUGUGAAGCGUCGGGUUCAGUCCUCUAACGAGCGCAACCCCUGUCGUUAGUUACUAACGCGUUAUGGCGAGGACUCUAACGAGACUGCCGUUGUCAAAACGGAGGAAGGUGGGGAUGACGUCAAGUCCUCAUGGCCCUUACAUCCAGGGUUGCACACGUGCUACAAUGGUGCGUACAAAGCGAAGCAAGACCGCGAGGUGGAGCAAAUCGCAAAAAACGCACCCCAGUUCGGAUUGCAGGCUGCAACCCGCCUGCAUGAAGCCGGAAUCGCUAGUAAUCGCGGAUCAGCUACGCCGCGGUGAAUGUGUUCCUGAGCCUUGUAGA